UACAGAGGUCCCGAGCGUUGUUCGGAUUCAUUGGGCGUAAAGGGUGCGUAGGUGGCGCCGUAAGUGGGGUGUGAAAUCCCGGGGCUUAACCCCGGGACUGCAUUCCAUACUGCGGUGCUUGAGGACUGGAGAGGAGACUGGAAUUUACGGUGUAGCAGUGAAAUGCGUAGAGAUCGUAAGGAAGACCAGUGGCGAAGGCGGGUCUCUGGACAGUUCCUGACACUGAGGCACGAAAGCCAGGGGAGCAAACGGG
rnacentral:rRNA from 1 species